UACGUAGGGUGCGAGCGUUAAUCGGAAUUACUGGGCGUAAAGCGGGCGCAGGCGGUCUGUUAAGACCGAUGUGAAAUCCCCGGGCUUAACCUGGGAACUGCAUUGGUGACUGGCAGGCUUUGAGUGUGGCAGAGGGAGGUAGAAUUCCACGUGUAGCAGUGAAAUGCGUAGAGAUGUGGAGGAAUACCGAUGGCGAAGGCAGCCUCCUGGGCCAACACUGACGCUCAUGCACGAAAGCGUGGGGAGCAAACAGG
rnacentral:rRNA from 1 species